UUCAGUUUCCUCAGCAACUUAUCUGAGGAAGGCCAUGAAGACUUGAAGCAAGACGCCAUUUUCCCACUCAUAGGAGAAAAAGAGUCCAGCCAGAUAUUGUUCAUAAAGAAUUGUUUGCCAUGAAUUUUUAAAUUUGUUGGAAUUUUAUCCAUGGGAAGCCUUCAAAGCCUGGAUUUGAAACAUGCUCUUCCAGAGAAGAAUUGUACUUGCUUGUGCCUGAAAAUACUACUAAACCAAGACCACUUAAAAUUUUUGCUCUUUUGGCGCUAAAAGUUUAAGGGCUUAGCUAUCUCUAGGAGACUCCCUUCAAUACCACCCGGAGCCAAGACCCAUUUGGCAUCAUGUCAAGUGUUCUGCACCAGGAGGGUUUCUCCAAACAUCCGGUCCAUCACAUUGUCAGAAAUAGAAGUCCAACAAUUUUUCUUAGAGAAUAUGUCACUC